rnacentral:lncRNA from 1 species
AUUGAUUUGUGGCAGGCAUCUAAGUUGAUCAGCAUAUCUGGUCAUGACUCUGUGAUAUCUCCUUCAUCUUUGAUAGUUUCAAUCUUGUUGAAGUGUUGGAUUUGAAAUCCUUCAAAAUUAUUGCCACAAGAGUUUGACAUCAGUUGAAACAACAAAGUACCUCACAUAAACUAGAGUUGCAUAGUUUCACCAAUGUUGAAGAACUGGAUGAGCAUAAUUUCAAAACAAUAGAGAAAUUCUGUUCUGUUUCACGCUUACCAGGAUCUGAUUGAUUUGUGGAAGCCAUCUCAGUUGAUCCGCAUAUCUGGUCAUGACUCUGUGAUAUCUCUUUGAUAUUUUAAUGUUUCAAUCUUGUUAAAGUGUUGGAUUUAAAAUCCUUCAAAAUUAAUGCUACUAGAGUUUGACAUCAGUUUAAACAACAAAGUGCCUCACAUAAACUAGAGUUGCGUAGUGUCACCAAUGUUG